rnacentral:rRNA from 1 species
GAGGGGAUAAUCCCCCUCGAGUGUCAACUGGUAUGCACGCGCGUCCCCCUAUGGGAAGUAAGCGUCAUGUUCUUAAUAGCGUUUUAGGGGUAAGGUGUGGGAGUAAAAGUAUUCCCCCUUUGGGUUCAUUCGUUUAUAAAUGAUGUAUCUCCUCGGGGUUUUCUCCCCUCACUCCCCCAGCGAACGCAAUUACCUUCCGCCUAGGGAUAAGGGCGGAAGGCCUAAAUACAAAGAAUCCGCGGGAACCCGCACAAGCGGUGGAGCAUGGGUUUAAUUCGAGGAAAUGGGAGGACCUUACCUACCCUUGCCAUCAUCAGAUCCUGCUCAAAAGUUUGAGUGCCCGCAAGGGAAGGUUAAGACAGGUGCUGCAUGGCUGUCGUCAGUUCGUGUCGUGAGAUGUUGGGUUAAGUCCCGCAACGAGCGCAACCCUCGCCUUUAGUUGCUCCGCAAGGAGAUCUCUAGAGGGACCGCCAGUGAUAAGCUGGAGGAAGGUGGGGAUGACGUCAAGUCCUCAUGGCCUUUAUGUCUGGGGCUACACACGUGCUACAAUGGCGAGUACAAAGCGUUGCCAACCCGCGAGGGGGAGCUAAUCGCAUAAAACUCGUCUCAGUUCGGAUCGGAGUCUGCAACUCGGCUCCGUGAAGUCGGAAUCGCUAGUAAUCGCAGAUCAGCACGCUGCGGUGAAUACGUUCCCGGGCCUUGUACACACCGCCCGUCACACCAUGGGAGUCAAUUGCUCCAGAAGUCACCACAACACGGUGGUGCCCAAGGAGUGAUUGGUAACUGGGGUGAAGUCGUAACAAGGUAA